rnacentral:rRNA from 1 species
AUUGAACGCUGGCGGCAUGCCUUACACAUGCAAGUCGAACGGCAGCACGGGAGCAAUCCUGGUGGCGAGUGGCGAACGGGUGAGUAAUACAUCGGAACGUGCCCAGUAGUGGGGGAUAGCCCGGCGAAAGCCGGAUUAAUACCGCAUGAGACCUGAGGGUGAAAGCGGGGGAUCGCAAGACCUCGCGCUAUUGGAGCGGCCGAUGUCAGAUUAGCUAGUUGGUAGGGUAAAGGCCUACCAAGGCAACGAUCUGUAGUUGGUCUGAGAGGACGACCAGCCACACUGGGACUGAGACACGGCCCAGACUCCUACGGGAGGCAGCAGUGGGGAAUUUUGGACAAUGGGUGCAAGCCUGAUCCAGCAAUGCCGCGUGCAGGAAGAAGGCCUUCGGGUUGUAAACUGCUUUUGUCAGGGAAGAAAUCUUCUGGGCUAAUACCCUGGGAGGAUGACGGUACCUGAAGAAUAAGCACCGGCUAACUACGUGCCAGCCGCCGCCGUAAAAC